UACGAAGGGUGCAAACGUUGCUCGGAAUCAUUGGGCGUAAAGCGCACGUAGGCGGCUUCGCAAGUCGGAUGUGAAAUCCCUCGGCUCAACCAAGGACGUGCAUCCGAAACUGCGAAGCUUGAGUACAGAAGAGGAUCGCGGAAUUCCCGGUGUAGAGGUGAAAUUCGUAGAUAUCGGGAAGAACACCCGUGGCGAAGGCGGUUCUCUGGGACGGUACUGACGCUGAGACGCGAAAGCGUGGGGAGCGAACAGG
rnacentral:rRNA from 1 species